CGACACCAGAGCUCCGUGGUGUGUCUUUCUGCUAUGAAGCAGUUCUUCUCCAGAACAUACCAGCUGAGUCCUGCAGAUGCCCCCAUGUGCCUCCAGCACGUUGUGACCAGAAGCUGAGGAACGACCGAACCCAGGGCCUUGCGCUUGCUAGACAAACUCUCUACCACUGAACUAAAUCCCCAACCCCUGCCUCCAGAUUUUUUUUUUAGAUAUUAUUUAUUUAUUUUAUGUUAUGAGUACACUGUAGGUGUCUUCGGAUGCACCAGAAGAGGGCAUCAGAUCUCAUUACAGAUGGUUGUGAGCCACCAUGUGGUUGCUGGGAAUUGAACUCAGGAUCUCUGGAAGAGCAGUCAGUGCUCUUAACCACUGAGCCAUCUCUCCAGCCCCCUGCCUCCAGAUUUUUAUAGAAAAAAAAUAAUACCAUAACCAAACACAAUCGUCCCUUUACAAUACUAAAAAAAAAAAUAGUUAAGACAUGUGUCCAGAACCAGCAUCACGAAGGGUUCUAAGUAAUGAAGUUUGAGUGAGAAGGUUAGGGAGAAAACCAGAGAAAAUGAAGAUAAGACAAAAGCAAAAGCAAUGGCUGGACCAGGAGUCAUGCAUAAGCUGAUGACUGAUGCCAAGGACCUUUAUUAAGAAGGAUGGCAUCUUAUAUACUAUAUGGCAGGGAGAGGAGAUGGCCAAGGUCAGUAGAGAGCUGAGUCGGACAGUGUUGGCAAAGAGAAGACAGAAUACCUCAGACACCGCUGCCUACGGACUGACAGCCACUGCCCAGGUGGAAGAGUCGGGCCCCGAAGCCAUUUACCUUGACUCUUUUGAGGCACUAGGAUCAGUCAUAUGAGAUCAGACUGGCCAAGUUCGUUCCCUGACGAGGACACAGAACUAAAGUUCCCUUCAUCCCUUCACCAGGGCCUCUGGAGAAAUCUUGGCUCAGACUGGCUCCCUACAGAUACGAUCCCUGGCGAGGUCACUUGUGAGCCCUGCCCUUUUGCUGGUUAGGAAAUCUCAGCCAAAUAUGUACCUUCUGAACUGGGGGAACAUAUUGUUCCCAGUAAGAUUUGGGGUCUUGUUCUCACCAACCAAUGUAACUGGAAUUCACAGGUACAUACGGCUGCUGAUUCCCAGGCUGGGGCCUCGUUUGCAGGGUCAGGAAACUUAAGUCCUGCCAACUAAAGUAAUACUGGGCCUUCUGGUUCCUAAUUCAUUUUCUCUUUCGGUUCAUAUUUAUUUCCCCUGAGAUGUAUUUUACAUAAUUGGGACAAAUGAAAUCUUAAUUUAAAGCUAAGCCUUGAGAAAAAAGUUAAUUUGGUCAACAGCUAAGAAAAAUGUUUAAAAAACAAAGCAAAACAGGAGCGAGGAGAUGGUUCAGCAGUUAAGAGAAUUGGCUGCUCUCAGAGGACCUGGGCUUGGUUCCCAGCACCUACCUGGCUUCAGUCUGUAACUUCAGUUCCAGAGGAUCUUAUGCCCUCUUCCAGCCUGCAUGAUUACUGCAUCCCUUUGGUGCUCAUACAGAUAUCCAGACAAACACUUAUUACUCUAGUUAGCUUUCUGCUGUGAUAAACAACAUGGAGGGAGAAAGGGUUUACUCAGAGGUUAGUCUAUCAAUCACCAAAGCCAAGGCAGGCACUGAAGCAGAGAGAGUGCAGUUUACUGCCUAGCUCCUCCUGGUUUACUCAGUUCCCAUUCUUAUUCAGCUCUGGCCCACCAGCCCAGAGCCGGUACUGCUCACAGCGGGCUGGCCCCUCCCACGUCAAUUAACCAUCAAGAAAAUGCCCCAUAACCACCCCUGCCCUGGGAAACCCAAAGCCAAAAAGACCACAGGACAAAACUGCUAACAAAGGGAAAAGAAGGCCAAAAGGAAAGCAGGCUGAAGGAAAUUUGAGAAGAUCUGCCUACAGAAAACAGCCAGAGAAUGAGAGUCCAUCCUCUGAAGCAGGAGAGAAGCUGUGUCUAACCAUACCCGACUGAUGGUGCGCCCUGCCCCUUGAAUUCCAGAGGAGUGUUUUUAUCAACUGUCUUGUAUUGCAAGUGUUUUUAGUAGUUAUAGAGACAUUUUUAGAAAGGG
rnacentral:lncRNA from 1 species